rnacentral:rRNA from 1 species
GACGAACGCUGGCGGCGUGCCUAAUACAUGCAAGUCGAGCGAAGUUUUUCUGGUGCUUGCACUAGAAAAACUUAGCGGCGAACGGGUGAGUAACACGUAAAGAACCUGCCUCAUAGACUGGGACAACUAUUGGAAACGAUAGCUAAUACCGGAUAACAGUAUUUCUCGCAUGAGAGAUAUUUAAAAGUUGGUUAUGCUAACACUAUGAGAUGGCUUUGCGGUGCAUUAGCUAGUUGGUGGGGUAAAGGCCUACCAAGGCGAUGAUGGGUAGCCGGCCUGAGAGGGUGAUCGGCCACAAGGGGACUGAGACACGGCCCUUACUCCUACGGGAGGCAGCAGUGGGGAAUAUUGGACAAUGGACCAAGAGUCUGAUCCAGCAAUUCUGUGUGCACGAUGAAGUUUUUCGGAAUGUAAAGUGCUUUCAGUUGGGAAGAAAAAAAUGACGGUACCAACAGAAGAAGUGACGGCUAAAUACGUGCCAGCAGCCGCGGUAAUACGUAUGUCACGAGCGUUAUCCGGAUUUAUUGGGCGUAAAGCGCGUCUAGGUGGUUAUAUAAGUCUGAUGUGAAAAUGCAGGGCUCAACUCUGUAUUGCGUUGGAAACUGUAUAACUAGAGUACUGGAGAGGUAAGCGGAACUACAAGUGUAGAGGUGAAAUUCGUAGAUAUUUGUAGGAAUGCCGAUGGGGAAGCCAGCUUACUGGACAGAUACUGACGCUGAAGCGCGAAAGCGUGGGUAGCAAACAGG